rnacentral:rRNA from 1 species
UAGGGAAUAUUGCGCAAUGGGGGAAACCCUGACGCAGCAACGCCGUGUGAGGGAGGAAGGCCUUAGGGUUGUAAACCUCUGUCAAUAGGGAAGAACGGUCAGUAUAGGAAAUGAUAUUGAUUUGACGGUACCUAUAAAGGAAGCACCGGCUAACUUCGUGCCAGCAGCCGCGGUAAUACGAAGGGUGCAAGCGUUGUUCGGAUUUAUUGGGCGUAAAGCGCGCGCAGGCGGAAUGGCAAGUCAGAUGUGAAAUCUCGGGGCUUAACCCCGAAACUGCGUCUGAAACUGCUGUUCUAGAGUCUUGGAGAGGAAAGGGGAAUUUCACGUGUAGGGGUAAAAUCCGUAGAGAU